ACGAACGCUGGCGGCGUGCUUAACCCAUGCCAGUCGAACGGAAAGGCCCUGCUUGCAGGGUACUCGAGUGGCGAACGGGUGAGUAACACGUGGGUGAUCUGCCCUGCACUUCGGGAUAAGCUUGGGAAACUGGGUCUAAUACCGGAUAGGAGCCAUCUUUAGUGUGGUGGUUGGAAAGUUUUUUCGGUGUAGGAUGAGCUCGCGGCCUCUCAGCUUGUUGGUGGGGUAAUGGCCUACCAAGGCGGCGACGGGUAGCCGGCCUGAGAGGGUGUACGGCCACAUUGGGACUGAGAUACGGCCCAGACUCCUGCGGGAGGCAGCAGGGGGGAAUAUUGCACAAUGGGCGCAAGCCUGAUGCAGCGACGCCGCGUGGGGGAUGAAGGCCUUCGGGUUGUAAACUCCUUUCGCCAGGGACGAAGCUUUUUUGUGACGGUACCUAGAGAAGAAGCACCGGCUAACUACGUG
rnacentral:rRNA from 1 species